rnacentral:rRNA from 1 species
GAUGAAUGCUGGCGGCGUGCCUAACACAUGCCAGUCGAGCGGCAGCGCGGGGUGCUUGCACCCUGUCGGCGAGCGGCGAACGGCUGUGUAACGCGUAGGAAUUUGCCCCAAAUUGAGGAAUAACUGCGCGAAAGGGGAGCUAAUGCCGCAUAGGGUCUUCGGAUUAAAGGAUUUAUUCGCUUUGGGAGAAGCCUGCGUUGGAUUAGGUUGUUGGUAGGGUUAUGGCCUACCAAGCCGACGAUCCAUAGCUGGUCGGAGAGGAUGAUCAGUCAGACUGGAACUGAGACACGGUCCCGACUGGUACGGGAGGCAGGAGUGAGGAAUCUUCCAGAAUGAGCGAGAGGCUGAUGGAGCAACGCGGCGUGAAGGAUGAAGGGCUUCGGAUUGUAAACUUCUUUUAUGAGAGAAGAAUAUGACGGUAACUCAUGAAUAAGUACCGGCUAACUACGUG